UGGGGAAUAUUGCGCAAUGGGCGAAAGCCUGACGCAGCGACGCCGCGUGAGGGAAGAAGGUCUUCGGAUCGUAAACCUCUGUCAGGAGGGAAGAACGGCAUGGAGUCGAACAGGCUCUGUGAUUGACGGUACCUCCGAAGGAAGCACCGGCUAACUCCGUGCCAGCAGCCGCGGUAAUACGGAGGGUGCAAGCGUUAUUCGGAAUUACUGGGCGUAAAGGGCGUGUAGGCGGCUUUGUAAGUCAGAUGUGAAAGCCCACGGCUUAACCGUGGAAUUGCAUUUGAAACUGCUUGGCUAGAGUACGGGAGAGGGUGGCGGAAUUCCCGGUGUAGGAGUGAAAUCCGUAGAUAUCGGGAGGAACACCAGUGGCGAAGGCGGCCACCUGGACCGUAACUGACGC
rnacentral:rRNA from 1 species